GCGAAGAGGAACAUGAAUUCCAUGGAUUAAAGGAAGAAGGAGUCAGAGAGGAAGAGCAGUCCUCUGUGAAUAAUUGAUGGGUGAGAUUAGCUGGGACAAAAAUCCAUAGUAGAGGAUAAAGAGAAGGCAAGAGAAGACUUUGGAGAGAUGGGAAAGGCAGUGAGAAAAACUAAGAGAGGAAGCUGUGGUAAUUACCUUCUCUCUAACUAGCCUUGAACCCUUGCCCUGAUGGACUCUGUGUUUAACAAACCAACAAGUUAUAAGGAAGACCGAACCACCAAGGAAACUGGCUUGAUCUCCUAGCAAAGUCCUGCCAGCCAACCAACAUCUACAUGGUUUGGAACAUGACAUCAAGCCAAAGUUGGUUUGCAGCUCUCUGCUAGGAGAUUAGAUUAGUUUAAACCACUUUUAGUUUCACUGAUUCUUUAUCUUAUUCCUUCAAAAUCUUCUAUUACUUCCUACUGUCCCUCUUCUAUGCGUUUUUGUCCCUAGCCAAUCCCAUCCAUGUCAUCUGAGAUCUAGAAAGGCAUGGCUUUACAGGGAACGAAAGAAUUUGUUGAAAGGAAUGGUUAUGAUUUCAUCUUGGUCUCCUUUUUCUGUAAUCAGGUAUUCUUUUGUUAUCGGAAAAGAUCAGGUACGGUAAAGAUCAUAGUGUCAUCUCGGUUUCCUUUCCUUGCAUCAAACAGGGGAGGAAUUUUAUCAUUUAAGGGAUUUUUGUUUAAUUCCUUUUAUUUUCUUGUUGAAUUUUUUUAUAAUGCUUACAAUUUUCAUUUCCUUUUUUGAAUUUUUCCCUUAGGCGUGUGAGCUGGGAUAUUUCUCAAAGUUUUCAGAACCGAGUCUAACAUAAGCAUUUCCUAUAAAGCCAGGAUGGCUGUGUCUGAGAGGGAAGGAGGAGGAAUAAUCAUUUAUGGGAUGUAAAUUUAGGAAUGCAUUCUUUGAACCCAAAGGGAUUUGCAAAAAGCUAGGGCAAGGAGAAAUGAAAUAAAAUAUUAGCUGCCGCAGGCCCGCAGAGGUACCUUCCGUGGAAACUGCAAGCGGCUUCUCAUCCUCUCAUAUGCUGCUUCUUUUCCUUUUCUUUUUCUUUGGAGAGACUCACUUUUAAAAGUUUCAUUGGAAGGGUGCUCGUAAAUAUAUAUAGAGAUGUUUUCUAAAGUAUUUUUUAUUUGAAAUUAUAUUAAAAUAAUUUUUAUAAAAUAUCUUUUUAAACGCAA